rnacentral:lncRNA from 1 species
CAUGAUAUGGUGCUUGAUCUUAUCCUACAUAAAUCAAGGGAAGAAAAUUUUGUAACUGUAAUAGAUGAUAUACAAGACAUGACAGGACAUAUAGACAAGAUCCGUAGACUCUCUAUCAACCAGGACAGUGUUAUAGAUUCUAGAUUUAUGGGAUCUGUCCAGCUAUCCCAAACACGAACCCUUGCAAGAUUUGGUACUUCUUCACAGUUACUGCCGUUUCUGCUGUUCAAGCAUCUACGAGUUUUAAUAAUUGAAGUAAAUGGGUCACCAUCAUCACUUGACUUAGAUGGAAUAUGCCAUUUGUUUCAGUUGAGGUGCUUAAAGAUUGUAGCGGAAGAUUAUGCUGUGGUGUUACCUAGUAAAAUUGGAGGUUUGCAGCAACUGGAAACGUUUGAAGUACAAAUUGAGAAGAAAGAAUUUGGAGAAUUUGGAUUUAUAGGGUCCCGAUCUCUGAAAUUACCAUCAGAUAUUAUUUAUUUGAGGCGGUUAUUGCAUUUGAUUGUUCCAGCGAGGACAAUAUUGCCUGAUGGGAUAGGUAACAUGAGAUCAUUGCAUACUCUACACCAAUUUAAUUUGGAGAAGUCACUGCGCAGUAUCAAGAGUCUGAGAGAAUUGACCAAUCUGACAGACCUUGAAAUCGGCUUCGUCAAUUCUGAACGAGGUUCCAGUUUUGAUCAUGAGUGGGUGGAACGAGGUAGGGAAGUUCUGCGCAUUUGCAUUGAAAAACUUUGCAACCUCAAAUAUCUAAAAUUGUGUAUUUGGCACUCCGAAGUCCACAUGGAUGCAUUCAGUCCAAUACCUGCUUCUUUCCGCCAUCUCCAAAGAUUCCAUGGAUCCAGCUUUUUGAGGGUUCCUGGUUGGAUUGGCAAACUCCAUAGCAUCUAUGACCUGGAUCUUUGUGUUCAGGAGGUUCUGCAGGAUGGUGUUGGGAUUCUUGCACAGCUGCAGUCCCUUGUCCGCCUAUGCUUGCACAUCACAGGAGCAUCUAAAGAUAAGAUUCUCAUCCGCGGAGGAACUGGAUUAUUCUCAGUUCUGAAGUAUUUUACAGUUCGCAGGAUAUCAUACCUGAGCUUCGAGGCAGGGGCAAUGCCCAAGCUUGAAAGGCUCAAGUUGUGCCUCAAUGCGCAGGAAUGGGACAGGUAUGGCGCUGCGCCUGCUGGCAUCGAGCAUUUAUUAGGCCUCAAGGAAAUCUCUGUACACAUUGGUACGGGUGGUGCCGAGGAUUCCGACAGGAGUGCUGCAGAGUCCGCGCUGAGGAACGCGGUGGACAUGCACCCAGGUCGUCCUGUAGCCAACAUAAGUGGGACAGGUGCACGGUGGGUAUUUGAUGGCAUGGAUGGGUAGCAGAGCAGCACCUGAUCAAGGCCAGGUACAAAGUCUUAGCGCACCUGGCGUUGCUUGUGCUGCUGUCGUUAUGGCUAGGAUUUCUGCUGCGUCAAGAGCAUCAACAGCCUGCAGUCAUGCCACCACCUGCUGUUGUGUUUGCAGCCGCUGAUGACAUCUAGAUGUAUCCGCCACCGAUGAUCUCGACUCCACCUUCCCGGCUUAUGCAUCGCCGAGCUGUUUGUUUAAGACUCCUGGUUAUGUUUUGGCGCCUUGAUUUCAGACUUAAUCUGU